AUUGAACGCUGGCGGCAUGCUUUACACAUGCAAGUCGAACGGCAGCACGGGCUUCGGGCCUGGUGGCGAGUGGCGAACGGGUGAGUAAUGCAUCGGAACGUACCGUGUAAUGGGGGAUAACGUAGCGAAAGUUACGCUAAAUACCGCAUACGCCCUGAGGGGGAAAGCGGGGGAUCGUAAGACCUCGCGUUAUACGAGCGGCCGAUGUCGGAUUAGCUAGUUGGUGGGGUAAAGGCCUACCAAGGCGACGAUCCGUAGCGGGUCUGAGAGGAUGAUCCGCCACACUGGGACUGAGACACGGCCCAGACUCCUACGGGAGGCAGCAGUGGGGAAUUUUGGACAAUGGGCGCAAGCCUGAUACCAGCCAUGCCGCGUGAGUGAAGAAGGCCU
rnacentral:rRNA from 1 species